rnacentral:tRNA from 1 species
GGUCAGGUAGCUCAGUCGGUAGAGCAGGGGACUGAAAAUCCCCGUGUCGAUGGUUCGAUUCCGUCCCUGACCA